GACGUAGGGUGCAAGCGUUGUCCGGAAUUAUUGGGCGUAAAGAGCUCGUAGGCGGUUUGUCGCGUCUGCUGUGAAAACUCGGGGCUUAACCCCGGGCCUGCAGUGGGUACGGGCAGACUAGAGUGCGGUAGGGGAGACUGGAAUUCCUGGUGUAGCGGUGAAAUGCGCAGAUAUCAGGAGGAACACCGGUGGCGAAGGCGGGUCUCUGGGCCGUAACUGACGCUGAGGAGCGAAAGCGUGGGGAGCGAACAGG
rnacentral:rRNA from 1 species